GUGGGGAAUAUUGGACAAUGGGCGCAAGCCUGAUCCAGCCAUGCCGCGUGUGUGAUGAAGGCCUUAGGGUUGUAAAGCACUUUUGUCCGGGAAGAUAAUGACUGUACCGGAAGAAUAAGCCCCGGCUAACUUCGUGCCAGCAGCCGCGGUAAUACGAAGGGGGCUAGCGUUGCUCGGAAUCACUGGGCGUAAAGGGCGCGUAGGCGGACUCUUAAGUCGGGGGUGAAAGCCCAGGGCUCAACCCUGGAAUUGCCUUCGAUACUGAGAGUCUUGAGUUCGGAAGAGGUUGGUGGAACUGCGAGUGUAGAGGUGAAAUUCGUAGAUAUUCGCAAGAACACCAGUGGCGAAGGCGGCCAACUGGUCCGAUACUGACGCUGAGGCGCGAAAGCGUGGGGAGCAAACAGGAUUAGAAACCCUUGUAGUCC
rnacentral:rRNA from 1 species